rnacentral:rRNA from 1 species
AGAGUUUGAUCCUGGCUCAGGACGAACGCUGGCGGCGNNNUUAACACAUGCAAGUGGAGCGACGAACCAGGGCUUGCCCUGGGGCAGAGCCGCGAACGGGUGAGUAACACGUGGGUAACCUACCUAGAUGACCGGGACAACCCGAGGAAACUCGGGCUAAUACCGGAUGUGCUCCUUCCCUUCAAGGGGAUUGAGGAAAGAUAGCUUCGGCUUCGCAUCUAGAUGGGCCCGCGGCCCAUUAGCUUGUUGGUGAGGUAACGGCUCACCAAGGCUUCGAUGGGUAGCUGGUCUGAGAGGACGAUCAGCCACACUGGGACUGAGACACGGCCCAGACUCCUACGGGAGGCAGCAGUGGGGAAUCUUGCGCAAUGCACGAAAGUGUGACGCAGCAACGCCGCGUGAGGGAAGACGGCCUUCGGGUUGUAAACCUCUUUCAGGAGGGACGAAGGUUCGCCGGUUAAUAGCCGGCCGGAUUGACGGUACCUCCAGAAGAAGCCCCGGCUAACUACGUGCCAGCAGCCGCGGUAAUACGUAGGGGGCAAGCGUUGUCCGGAAUCAUUGGGCGUAAAGCGCGUGUAGGCGGUUUGGUAAGUCCGCUCUGAAAGUCCGGGGCUCAACCCCGGAAGGCGGGUGGAUACUGUCAGACUAGAGUGCGGAAGAGGCGAGUGGAAUUCCCGGUGUAGCGGUGAAAUGCGCAGAUAUCGGGAGGAACACCAAUUGCGAAGGCAGCUCGCUGGGACGUAACUGACGCUGAGCGCGAAAGCGUGGGGAGCAAACAGGAUUAGAUACCCUAGUAGUCC